UCGGGAAUUUUGGGCAAUGGGCGAAAGCCUGACCCAGCAACGCCGCGUGAAGGAUGAAGUAUUUCGGUAUGUAAACUUCGAAAGAAUAGGAAGAAUAAAUGACGGUACUAUUUAUAAGGUCCGGCUAACUACGUGCCAGCAGCCGCGGUAAUACGUAGGGACCAAGCGUUGUUCGGAUUUACUGGGCGUAAAGGGCGCGUAGGCGGCGUGGUAAGUCACUUGUGAAAUCUCCGAGCUUAACUCGGAACGGUCAAGUGAUACUGCUGUGCUAGAGUACAGAAGGGGCAAUCGGAAUUCUUGGUGUAGCGGUGAAAUGCGUAGAUAUCAAGAGGAACACCUGAGGUGAAGACGGGUUGCUGGGCUGAUACUGACGCUGAGGCGCGAAAGCUAGGGUAGCAAACGGGGAUUAGAUACCCUCGUAGUCCCUGAGCGGGCUGGCAAGGCGCAU
rnacentral:rRNA from 1 species